GGGUAUACCAAUUCAAUUCUGUAGAACUAAGAAAUCAAAUCCUUAUCAGGCCAAAUAGAACUAAGAACAUUCAUUCAUCCCUGAAGAAAUAUAAAAAUGAGGCCUUCCUUCAUAUACCAUGUAAAUGACACCCUCGAGUCUAAAAUGAUAUUUCUAAUUACCAAAUGGCCGAUUACCUGUGAUAGGCCCACCGAGGCUUGGUUCGACACAUGCUAAUACAUCAUGGAUAUUAACAAAAUAACAGCCUCCAAUAAGCAAAAUUCCAAAAAUAAAUUGAAACUGUAGCAGCAUGGGAUAGCAAAAUAGCUCGACUGAAGUGAAGACCAAGGAAAUAACCAAGACAUGGGAAUAAAAAUUUAGUUCAAAGAAAACUCUAAUAUACUCAACAAUUUAAUAAACAACAAAGGUUUAAAAAUUCCUGAGUGAGAUUAAUAAGGCAGCAAAAAAUAAUAAUGUUCAUCCAGCUUCUAAACAAACAAUAAUAACUCUCUCAAAACUAAAAAGCACAUAACAAGUUUAAACUUGGCUUACAAAACAAGUAACACAGAUCGCUCCAAGUCAACAAUGAACUCAAUCUGCCAUCUUGUGACACUCAUAUGUUGCUGGGGUACAUGAAGACUCUAACCCUAUCUCCCAUUGAUUUUGGGGGCAGAUUGGACUUGAACUUAGCUCGUACAACACCACUGUUACCAUGAGGCCUGGUGACCUUGCCCCAAAUGCAGCGAUAGUGUGAUCCAUUCUUCUUUACCUUAGCCUUGUAUAUAUAAGCCAUGCGCUUUCCAGCAUACCAGGCAACCUCUUCCUUGGUAUUCACUCCUUCAAUCUGGAUUAAUGACGUGUUUGGAUACUGGUUUGACUUGGACCUCUUGUAUCCGAGGAUGGUCCCUCUGACGUAGAGUCUAGAAACGAAAAGAUCAAAGGAAGGAGAAAUUAAAGCAAAAAUUAGUUCAUAGCUGGAGAUUUGAGCUCCAAAAAUAAAAAAUUCAGAGCGCAGAUUUUAGAGAAAUGAAAAUGAUAGAGAGAUCAAUGAAAGACCUGACUCGCUCUCCUUGGCGUCCCUUCACCAUUUUCGGCCAAGCCCUCUUCUCUCUCGCUGAAAGUGGCUACGCUUGAGCAGCUGCG
rnacentral:misc_RNA from 1 species